GCGGUAUUACAGCCUAGUUCACGGUCAACAGUGAUAACCGUUGAGUGAACGUUAGUGGACGACAGGAGCAGGGCUCUUGAUUAUCAUCAGAAAAAAAAAUGCACUGGUAACCCCUGUAAUUAAAUGUGCCACACCAGUUUGGACCCAGUAUGUCAUUCUGAUCCUGCAACAGGCAGUUUCAGAGAUGAUCAGAGUAAAUCUCAGGACACGGCCAAGCUUCCAGGGCUUUAUUUAAAAAGAAGAAUCUCUGCAAGUUGCUGUGGCAUGGCCCCUUUCUAAUGCAUCAUAGAUGAUAUCCAGAUCUAUGUUCCCUUAAAGCCUGAGAAGGGGUUUACCCUCCAGCUAUUGCUGGACUGUCUCGAUGACAUUAGAGCUGGGCUGCCACUAAACUUCCUACACCUCAAUGAGGGCAAAGUGGAGUGUAUAGCGCUGGGACACCCCUCUCCAGUGGCUGCCUAGGUCAUUGUCCUUGGACCUCUAUCAUCAUACGUUAAACCUGCGCACUUUGGUCAACCAGAUGUUGUAAAGUGCUGGAUGAAUAAUAUGACUUGAGUCAAUUGGAUGGAGACCAUACUAACGUCUGCACCACUAAUUCAUGGAUUUCAGUCACAUCUGUUUUUCCAGUUCCUGUGUCACAGAGUUGUUGAUCGACAGUGAGUCUGUCCCCCAACAAGCCUCAGCCCGGUGCUCCCUCUCUGUUCACUCUGGGUUUGGUCUCCACCACCUCCUGAGGGAAACCCUCUGGUUCUGGAGCUGCUAAACGCUCCACUGUGUUCCCCAGCUGGUCUCUGACUGGCUCUGUCUGCAGUUUGCCGCUGAGCAGGUUGUGGACGGCGGCUGUGUAGAGCGUCUCCUCUGCUAACAGCAGCUUCCUGCUGCGGCCCAGAACCAGGCUACGAGAGAAGGGAGAGUGAACCAGGACAGUAGAGCUGUGGUCCGUCACUAAACAAUGAGCUGAGACUCACUGUGAAGCUGUGUAACACUGAAGGGAGCUGCAGAUUCAGCUGAUCAGUAUGUGCAGGUUCAUCACUACAGGAAAAGCCUCAGAUAUUUUCACAGUUUCCUGGUCAUUUCCACUGUAAUCCUGACAAAAUGCUUCUCUGAAGAUACUAGAUUUCACUAGAUAUUACUGUAAUUAUUGUACUACACCUCAUCAGACACAAGAUUGGAGGGAAAAGGAGACUAAAGUGAAGGUGGGAGACAGUAAGUCUUAGAGAUGUGGAUGGCAGAGGCAGACUGGGGGGUAAGAUAAAGUACAAGAUUAGGGAAGAAAGAAACACUGGGGGCAAUGGCACAAAGAUGAAGAGGGCAACAGAGAGAUGGUGGGAAGAAGCCUAAAGAACAGAAUGACCAGGAGGAAUGUUUAUGACUGAUCAGAGACAGAAAUACAGAAGGGUGAAGAAAGC